rnacentral:ncRNA from 1 species
AGCCGUAUGCGAUGAAAGUCGCACGUACGGUUCUUAGUGGGGGAAAGGCUUAGAGGCCCUACCUAUCACAAUUAGAUACCCUAGCACUCCCAACUGUAAACGAUGAAUGGUAGGUGUUAAUUAUAUUAAAAUUAGUACCGAUGUGAACACGUUAACCAUUCCGCCUUGUGAGUAUACUUGCAAAAGUGAAAACAAAAAAAUUAGUCGGCCCCGAAGCAAACGAAGUGAAGCAUGUUGUUUAAUACGAUAAUCCGCGUAAAAUCUUACCAUGGCUUGAAUAUGACUUUUCUAAGAAUAUUUCACGAAAAAAUGUUCAUUUGUUAAAAAUAAUUCUAAUUUUGAUAAAGAUCAAUGAAGAAUUUUUAACAGAGAAAAGGAAUAAUUACUAUUAUUCAUUUACAGGUGUUGCAUGGCUGUCGUCGGUUCGUAUCGUGAGAUGUUUGGUUAAUUCCGCUAACGAACGCAAUCCCUAUUGUUAAUUUAUACUUAACACUGGCUUACCCUAAAAAAGGGAAGUUGUUUGGGGCUAUGACAAGCCGUUAUGACCCUUAUGCCGUGGGCUAUAGACGUGCCACAAAAACUUUAACAAUAUGAAGCAAUCCAUCGCCAACUCUCGAGUAAUUUGGGAAAAUUAGUAGGAGAACAUGAGGAGCUAAUCAUCAAAAUAAGUUAUAGCCGGAUUGUUGCCUGAAACUCGGCAACAUGAAGAAGGAAUUUCGAGUAAUCGUUGAUCACCAGCGCAACGGUGAAGACAUAAUUCGGGGUUUAUGGUUAAGAGCCCCUUU